rnacentral:rRNA from 1 species
UGAGUACGAGAUGCUACGGCGUCGAAGCAGUCUAUGUCAUACUUCCAAGAAAAGCUUGCACUGUCAUAAACAAAGAAUGCCUGUACCAUAACCGACACAGGUGGGUAGGUAGAGUAUACUAAGGGGCGCGAGAUAACUCUCUCUAAGGAACUCGGCAAAAUGACUCCGUAACUUCGGGAGAAGGAGUGCCUUAUUUUUAAGGUUGCAAUAACAAGAUCCAAGCAACUGUUUACCAAAAACACAGGUCUCCGCUAAGUCGUAAGACGAUGUAUGGGGGCUGACGCCUGCCCAGUGCCAGAAGGUUAAAGAAGUUGGUUAGCAUUCGCGGAGCUGAUAACUGAAGCCCUGGUGAACGGCGGCCGUAACUAUAACGGUCCUAAGGUAGCGAAAUUCCUUGUCGGGUAAGUUCCGACCCGCACGAAAGGCGUAAUGAUUUGGAUACUGUCUCGGAGAGGGGCUCGGUGAAAUAGACUUGUCUGUGAAGAUGCGGACUACCUGCACCUGGACAGAAAGACCCUAUGAAGCUUUACUGUAACUUGAGAUUGAAAUUGGACUUUAUUUGCGCAGUAUAGGUGGGAGGCGUUGAGAAUAAUCUUGCGGGAUUAUGGGAGCCAUCAGUGAGAUACCACUCUUGUAAUGUUAGAUUUCUAACUUUGUAUCAUUAUCUGGUCAAAGAACAGUUUCAGGCGGGCAGUUUGACUGGGGCGGUCGCCUCCCAAAGGGUAACGGAGGCGCACAAAGGUUUCCUCUGAACGGGUAGAAAUCGUAUCUAGAGUGUAAAGGCAUAAGGAAGCUUGACUGUGAGACCUACAAGUCGAGCAGGGACGAAAGUCGGUCUUAGUGAUCUGACGGUGCUGAGUGGAAAGGCCGUCACUCAACGGAUAAAAGUUACUCUAGGGAUAACAGGCUGAUCUCCCCCAAGAGUUCACAUCGACGGGGAGGUUUGGCACCUCGAUGUCGGCUCAUCGCAUCCUGGGGCGGUAGUACGUCCCAAGGGUUGGGCUGUUCGCCCAUGAAAGCGGUACGCGAGCUGGGUUCGGAACGUCGUGAGACAGUUCGGUCCAUAUCCGGUGUAGGCGUUAGAAUAUUGAAAGGAGCCUUCUCUAGUACGAGAGGACCGCGAAGGACAUACCUCUGGAGUACCAGUUAUCGUGCCAACGGUAAACGCUGGGUAGCUAUGUAUGGAGUGGAUAACCGCUGAAAGCAUCUAAGUGGGAAGCCCACCUUAAGAUAAGUAUUCUCAUA